rnacentral:rRNA from 1 species
UCGAGCGAUCUGCCUUGAAGAUCGGAGUGCUUGCACUCUGUGAAACAAGAUACAGGCUAGCGGCGGACGGGUGAGUAACACGUGGGUAACCUGCCCAAGAGAUCGGGAUAACACCUGGAAACAGAUGCUAAUACCGGAUAACAACAGAUGAUGCCUAUCAACUGUUUAAAAGAUGGUUCUGCUAUCACUCUUGGAUGGACCUGCGGUGCAUUAGCUAGUUGGUAGGGUAACGGCCUACCAAGGCGAUGAUGCAUAGCCGAGUUGAGAGACUGAUCGGCCACAUUGGGACUGAGACACGGCCCAAACUCCUACGGGAGGCAGCAGUAGGGAAUCUUCCACAAUGGACGCAAGUCUGAUGGAGCAACGCCGCGUGAGUGAAGAAGGGUUUCGGCUCGUAAAGCUCUGUUGUUGGUGAAGAAGGACAGGGGUAGUAACUGACCUUUGUUUGACGGUAAUCAAUUAGAAAGUCACGGCUAACUACGUGCCAGCAGCCGCGGUAAUACGUAGGUGGCAAGCGUUGUCCGGAUUUAUUGGGCGUAAAGCGAGUGCAGGCGGUUCGAUAAGUCUGAUGUGAAAGCCUUCGGCUCAACCGGAGAAUUGCAUCAGAAACUGUCGAGCUUGAGUACAGAAGAGGAGAGUGGAACUCCAUGUGUAGCGGUGAAAUGCGUAGAUAUAUGGAAGAACACCGGUGGCGAAGGCGGCUCUCUGGUCUGUUACUGACGCUGAGGCUCGAAAGCAUGGGUAGCGAACAGGAUUAGAUACCCUGGUAGUCCAUGCCGUAAACGAUGAGUGCUAAGUGUUGGGAGGUUUCCGCCUCU